GGCCGUGAUCGUCAAAUUGGCUCA
rnacentral:miRNA from 1 species